CCUACGGAGGCUGCAGUGGGGAAUAUUGGACAAUGGGCGAAAGCCUGAUCCAGCCAUGCCGCGUGUGUGAAGAAGGCCUUCGGGUUGUAAAGCACUUUCAGUGGGGAAGAAAGCCUUGGGGCUAAUACCCUCGAGGAAGGACAUCACCCACAGAAGAAGCACCGGCUAACUCCGUGCCAGCAGCCGCGGUAAUACGGAGGGUGCGAGCGUUAUUCGGAAUUACUGGGCGUAAAGCGCGCGUAGGCGGUCUGAUAAGCCGGUUGUGAAAGCCCCGGGCUCAACCUGGGAACGGCAUCCGGAACUGUCAGGCUAGAGUGCAGGAGAGGAAGGUAGAAUUCCCGGUGUAGCGGUGAAAUGCGUAGAGAUCGGGAGGAAUACCAGUGGCGAAGGCGGCCUUCUGGACUGACACUGACGCUGAGGUGCGAAAGCGUGGGUAGCAAACAGGAUUAGAUACCCUAGUAGUC
rnacentral:rRNA from 1 species